UGUGUUUCAUAUUUUAUUUACAUUAACUAUUUAGUAAAGUAUAUAUGUUUCUUAUUCUAUUGUAGGUGUCUGGGCAUUCUCAUACUUUUCCUCGUCUUUAUGCAGGCUGAAGUUAAAAAACAAACAAACAAACAUUUCUUCUGCCACUGUAAAGGCACAUAGGGGAUUCAGGUGAACCUCAAACAAUAGUUUCACCGAAUGUUCUGGUGCCCAGAGCAGACAUGACAGGAUGAUUUGUGGAAGAAGAGGAGGGAGCAAUGAUCACAGAAUGUAAAUGCUAAGAAACUGAGGUCCAGAGCCACAGAGUGCCUUCUGCAAACAUAAAGAAGAAUCCUGUUUGCUAAACUCUUUGGGCCAUGAUGAUUCAUAGUACAGGUGGUGGAAUUUGGUAUGUAUUUGUGUGUGUGUCUCUGUGCACACAUAUUUAUGUUUAUGCUUGCAAGUACUUUGUCAGAAUGAAAUGUUUAGGCUACACUUACUACCCACCUGAUUUUAAUUAGUGUUACCAGAUAUUUACUGAAAUCAUCAAAGUUUUUAAUUUAGAGAUAAUUUGGCAAAGGGCAAUUUGCUGCUAUUUACAUUUAAAUAGAUGUGAAAAAAUGCACUGAUGUUUUCUCAGACAGACCCCAGGGCAGUUUCAUGUUCAAGCUCUGGAAGACCUGCUCCCCUUGAAUGUGGGAGGGACCUGUUACUUGCUUCCAACCAAUAAUAUAACAAAAGUGG